rnacentral:rRNA from 1 species
CCUACGGGAGGCAGCAGUGAGGAAUAUUGGUCAAUGGACGAGAGUCUGAACCAGCCAAGUAGCGUGAAGGAUGACUGCCCUAUGGGUUGUAAACUUCUUUUAUAUGGGAAUAAAACGUUCCACGUGUGGGAUUUUGUAUGUACCAUAUGAAUAAGGAUCGGCUAACUCCGUGCCAGCAGCCGCGGUAAUACGGAGGAUCCGAGCGUUAUCCGGAUUUAUUGGGUUUAAAGGGAGCGUAGGUGGAUUGUUAAGUCAGUUGUGAAAGUUUGCGGCUCAACCGUAGAAUUGCAGUUGAAACUGGCAGUCUUGAGUACAGUAGAGGUGGGCGGAAUUCGUGGUGGAGCGGUGAAAUGCUUAGAUAUCACGAAGAACGCCGAUUGCGAAGGCAGUUCACUGGACUGCAACUGACACUGAGGCUCGAAAGUGUGGGUAUCAAACAGGAUUAGAUACCCGUGUAGUC